GUUUCCCAGCUCCUGAAUUGGAGCUGCAAAUAUUAGUGCAUGGAAUGCAACCUGUCCAUAGAAGUGAAGAGAAAAGUCAAAGGGAAGAUUUUUUGAGAGCUUAGAGUCAAGCCCAUUUAGUAUAAGAAGCCCUUCUUGAUUGAGCUACAAGAAAAACAGAGAAACCUUAACAAUUUGAUGUCAUCAUCUAAAAAAUGUUCUGCAAACAUGUUGGAAGAGCUUCUCACUUGGGUUCCAAAUCUUGCACGAAUCCAAUGAGGAGAAGCGUCAUGAGGAAUCUUGGUCUCUUUUAGCUUGAAAUGCUUGAACGGAAGAGAAGACACGACCCGAACAUCGGCUCGUAACGUGUUCUUGAAAUGUUCGACAUCGAAAAUGUCGGAGAAUUUACUGCAGAAGUAGCAAAACCCCACUUCUAAAAGCACCCAAAAAGGAGAAAGAAAUGAAAGGGAGAAGAAAAGAAAAGUCAUUUACCUGUCAUCUCUCCAUAUGAGAUUGACCUUCAAAACAGGGACGACCAAAGCAGCCUUAAGAAUCCUAGCAAUCACAACAGCAUCAGCAAUUUGGUUCCUCUGCUGAUUCAAUCCACCGGAAACCAUCACCAUCAAGAAUCUCCUCUUCUCUUUAGAGAUCUUGGCAGAUUCCUUCCUGUAUUCCAAACUGAAAUCAAGACAAGGCCUAUAGCCCUCCCCAUCCGGCUGUUUCCAAAACUCUGUUUCUUCAUCGGAGAGAUUUGAAGCCACUACGUGGACCGGCAACGGCACCAUCACACUGGUCGACAACUUCGGCGAGUUCUGGUGGGUCGAAGAAGCCACUGGAGAAAGCAGAGAGAGGAGAAGACGAGACUGAGAAGAGGACGGCAUUAAAGGGAAGGAAAUUGAGGAUUUGGUAGAACAGGGGUCUGCAUAAAAUGGCGAGGAAUGAAGGAAAUUGACAGUGGAGAUUGCCAAGAAAGCGAGAGAAGUAAGUAGAGAGAGAAAGAAGAGUGAGAGAUAAGGGUUUAGAGUUCUUGGGAGUUUCUUGGGGGAGAAGAUGGAAGUGAGAAUGGUGAGUGAGAGCAAAUCAAAGAAUGGUGGUGGGUUUGGAGUUGAGAAGGAGGCUCUGCUUGUUCUUGGUCUGGCCAUGGCGGAAUGUUUCAUUGUCUCUGUAAUUCUCUGAGUCUUGCAAGAAAGAAGAAGAGGAAGAUGAAGAACAAGAACAUGGGAAAUGGGGUUUUGAAUUUGAUAUCAAAAUUUGACAUUUUUGGCGCUGUUUGCUCUUCCUUGAAUGCAACUCAGAGUAUGACGGUUUUUUCUGUUGAA